rnacentral:rRNA from 1 species
AUUGAACGCUGGCGGCAGGCCUAACACAUGCAAGUCGAGCGGAUGAAGGGAGCUUGCUCCUGGAUUCAGCGGCGGACGGGUGAGUGAUGCCUAGGAAUCUGCCUGGUAGUGGGGGAUAACGUCCGGAAACGGGCGCUAAUACCGCAUACGUCCUGAGGGAGAAAGUGGGGGAUCUUCGGACCUCACGCUAUCAGAUGAGCCUAGGUCGGAUUAGCUAGUUGGUGGGGUAAAGGCUUACCAAGGCGACGAUCCGUAACUGGUCUGAGAGGAUGAUCAGUCACACUGGAACUGAGACACGGUCCAGACUCCUACGGGAGGCAGCAGUGGGGAAUAUUGGACAAUGGGCGAAAGCCUGAUCCAGCCAUGCCGCGUGUGUGAAGAAGGUCUUCGGAUUGUAAAGCACUUUAAGUUGGGAGGAAGGGCAGUAAGUUAAUACCUUGCUGUUUUGACGUUACCAACAGAAUAAGCACCGGCUAACUUCGUG